UAUAAUUGCACGGGGUUUAGCAUAAAUAAAAGUAGUAUAAAAUAAUAGGGAGAAGUAACUUUUUGCAGAUCUUUCUCUUUUUUUCUUUUCUUUCCUUUGUGAUGUGCUAAUAGAAGUAGGGACAUGAGAAGAGACUUAUUUUAAAGACUGAAUUUAAACCUCAAGUUAAGAAGAAACUAAGACCUUGCAGUGGAAGUUCUGGUUGUACCUUGACUCCACUGCAGGUUAAAAUCCAGGGAUGACUUCGCCGGUUGGUUUGGUUAUUAAACAGUGGGGAAAUGCAGCCUGGUGGUUGGUUCCGAGCAUCCUGUAGAUGGUGAAUUAGGAUUUUGCAAUAUGACUUUCAUUGCAGAAUACAAGACUGUCUUGGAAAACUCAUGCUCUCUAUGCACAUUUCAAAUCAGUGCUCAAACUGCUGGUGUUUCUGGCUUGGUUCCUGAGAAGAUAACGGUCCAGUGCAUUUGUAGGAGAGAAGUGCCGUGAUUUGAAGUUCAGUCCAGCUCUGAAAUGCAACAGAAUGUUGCCCACUCUCGUAAGUCUGCCGUCACACUGCCAAAACACAGCCCAGUAAGGAUCCCACGGCUGCACCCAAGGAAGCAGAUAUCGUUUGGACAUUUUGAAAACCAAGAAAAGGUGGUUUCUGUGAAGCUGAGGUAAGUCCAUAUUGUAAAAUACAGUUAGGGGGGGACUAGGCACUUCAUCUUAUGGGAAAAAAGAUGAGAGUACACAGCAGACAGGUGUCGUUACAUUCUAGUGAUGGUCUGUCAUGGGGACCUGCCCUAAUGAUAAAGGAAUGAGAAGUUGUAAGUGGGAAGAAGCAGCAGAUUUCUGAAUUGGAUUUGCUCCUGAGUUUAAUAUUUGUGACAGUUACCCCAGGGGCUUGAGCCCCAGCUGAAGAUUUGCAGUAUCCGGGUACGCAGAGGACUGAUGUGAACUCUACAGGGGGAAACAUCUUAAUUUGUGUCAUUUUUUCUAUAGUGAGGAAAUUUAUUGUGGGAGUUGCUUUCUUUUACCAGGCCUCUGAGUUUUCGGAAAGUUGUAGGAAGUUUGAGGGGGCUUUUUGCUAAGUUGGGUUUAGUUAUGUGCAGUCACUGGGUUCAAAAGUAAUGCAGGGAUGCAGGUACAGAGAGGCACAGCAGUGAUGAAUGCUCUGUUUCCAUUGGAAACCAAGUCUAAAAAUACUUCUGUAGCCACAGCUCAACUGUGCUACCAAUUGAAGUUGCUGGCUGAGCCUGUGAACUAACACUUGAGCCUAAACCAGUGAAAUAAAAGAAA
rnacentral:lncRNA from 1 species